rnacentral:rRNA from 1 species
AUGGUUUUUGAAGACGAGAGCAGCGACGAGAACUCAAGCCCCCCGUACAUGCACUCCGAAACCUCCACCGAUGGGCUCAAUCAGAAAGGUCAGAAUUGUGGGUUUGUUCAGUGGGUUGAUGAGCAGUGGCCCCCAACAAUGGAGAAUGCAUUGCUGAAGCUUUGGUCAAUGGUUGAAGAGAGCAAGUCUGCUAGGGUGGAUGAUAAUCUUCAAAGUUCUUCAACUAUUCACCAUUUGACAGAACAAAAUAAGAAGCUGGAUGCACAAUAUGACAAGUUAGUGAAAGAUGUGCAUCAACUUGUGGACUUUCAGCAGGAUAGGGUUGUGGAUUUCAGUUAUCUGCAGUCAGCUGUCACAUAUCAGCACCAAUGCAGAGCUGAAUUGGUGGCUGGUAUGAAUGCAGAAAUGGCAAAGAAAGAUGCAGCUCUAGAGAAGCUUCAACAGAAGUUUGAAAUCCUGUGCAACCUGACAAGUGCUCAAGCAACUGCCAUCCAAAACCUCAAGUUGUAG